GCUCUUCAGCAGCAGCCGCCUCUAGUCCCGUUUUCUGCUAAGAGCAAGGCCCAGUAACGUUAGCAAGCUCCAGUCAUGACCCCAACACACUAGAAUGGGCAGACAGUGCUUUGGGCAGUAGCAAAGAUGACCGAAUGCUCUCAAGAAUGACUCACAGGAAGAUGAGGGCUUGGAAAGAGAAAGCCAGCGAAAAGUGUGAGCAGUGCAGCGCUGGAGCAUAUGGCCACAUUUCUUCCCUGCAGUCCAGCUUCCACUGCACUCGGUCGUAUGUGGCUCUUUCCGCAGUCCUCAAUUGAGCUACAUUUGACACACCAGAGAGCCAGAAAUGGACA